rnacentral:rRNA from 1 species
UACAUGGGGUGCAAACGUUGCUCGGAAUUAUUGGGCGUAAAGCGCACGUAGGUGGUCUGUUAUGUCAGAUGUGAAAGCCCUCGGCUUAACUGAGGAAGUGCACCUGAAACUGGCAGGCUUGAGUACGAAAGAGGGUCGCGGAAUUCCCGGUGUAGAGGUGAAAUUCGUAGAUAUCAGGAGGAACACCAAUGGCGAAGGCAGCUCGCUGGGACGGUACUGACGCUGAGACGCGAAAGCGUGGGGAGCGAACAGG